rnacentral:rRNA from 1 species
UACGGGGGGGGCAAGCGUUGUUCGGAAUUACUGGGCGUAAAGGGCUCGUAGGCGGCCAACUAAGUCAGACGUGAAAUCCCUCGGCUUAACCGGGGAACUGCGUCUGAUACUGGAUGGCUUGAGUUUGGGAGAGGGAUGCGGAAUUCCAGGUGUAGCGGUGAAAUGCGUAGAUAUCUGGAGGAACACCAAUUGCGAAGGCAGCUCGCUGGGACGUAACUGACGCUGAGACGCGAAAGCGUGGGGAGCAAACAGG